UCAGGAAUGACCGCUAGCCGGCAGGCUUUACCCCAUGCAAGUCGAAGGGGUAACARAGGUAGCUUGCUACCUUGCUGACGACCGGGCGCACGGGUGCGUAACGCGUAUACAAUCUACCUUUUGCUGAGGAAUAGCCCAGAGAAAUUUGGAUUAAUGCCUCAUAGUAUGUUGACUUCGCAUGGAGAUAACAUUAAAGGUUACGGCAAAAGAUGAGUAUGCGUCCUAUUAGUUAGUUGGUGUGGUAACGCCACACCAAGACAGCGAUAGGUAGGGGCCCUGAGAGGGGGAUCCCCCGCACUGGUACUGAGACACGGACCAGACUCCUACGGGAGGCAGCAGUGAGGAAUAUUGGACAAUGGAGGCAACUCUGAUCCAGCCAUGCCGCGUGCAGGAAGACUGCCCUAUGGGUUGUAAACUGCUUUUAUACAGGAAGAAACCGCUCUACGUGUAGAGCUCUGACGGUACUGUAAGAAUAAGGAUCGGCUAACUCCGUGCCAGCAGCCGCGGUAAUACGGAGGAUCCAAGCGUUAUCCGGAAUCAUUGGGUUUAAAGGGUCCGUAGGUGGAUAAUUAAGUCAGAGGUGAAAGUUUGCAGCUCAACUGUAAAAUUGCCUUUGAUACUGGUUAUCUUGAGUUAUUAUGAAGUAGUUAGAAUAUGUAGUGUAGCGGUGAAAUGCAUAGAUAUUACAUAGAAUACCAAUUGCGAAGGCAGAUUACUAAUAAUAUAC
rnacentral:rRNA from 1 species